GGUAUGGGGAGAGCUAGGAGUCUUUUGGGGAAACAAACAAAUGAAAACAACAUGUACUCAAACGCCAAAAGAUUACUGCUAAUCACAAAAGACAAAAGUCUCAAACUGGCUGACAGUCAGGACCCACUCUGCUCUUGGAGGCUCUCUGUAGUCCCUUUCAUCUUCAAAGCAGCAACAACUGAAGCAAGCAGUGGUCGAUCAUCCCUUUCACUGCCCCGUGAAGAAUAAGCACAUUCUGUUCAAUACUUCCAUGUGCUCAAUACAAGGACGGCUGAAUCAUUCUAACCCUUGUGAGCUCCCGCCUGCCCGGUGAGCUCCUGGCUGUGUGGCAUAGCAAGAGGAGUGACGCGCUGCCUCGGAGCCAGAGCCCGCGCAGCGCCCCGCAAGGCGAUGGACGGCCG